AUUGAACGCUGGCGGCAGGCCUAACACAUGCAAGUCGAGCGGCGAAAGUUCUUCGGAAUGAGUAAAGCGGCGGACGGGUGAGUAAUACAUGGGAAUCUGCCUGGUAGUGGGGGACAACGUUUCGAAAGGAACGCUAAUACCGCAUACGCCCUACGGGGAAAGGGGGGGAUCUUCGGACCUCUCGCUAUCAGAUGAGCCCA
rnacentral:rRNA from 1 species